AACAUCGCGCACCUGCGGGAACCUGCGGAAGGAUCAUUAAUGAUUGGUGGCUGUUGCUGACUAGUGUUUCUAGUAUGUGCACGCCACACCUUCAAUCCCACUUACACCUGUGCACCUUCUGUAAUAGAUCUAUGUGGAUACGGAGAUGUGAAAGUUUGCGCUCUCCUACUCUGUUGAAGCAGUCUACUACGUUUUUCUACACACACACACACAAUAGUCAUUGAAUGUAUUUUUUAUUCU
rnacentral:misc_RNA from 1 species